CCUACGGGAGGCAGCAGUGGGGAAUAUUGGGCAAUGGGCGCAAGCCUGAUCCAGCAACGCCGCGUGAAGGAAGAAGGCUUUCGGGUUGUAAACCUCUUUUCUCAGGGACGAAGCAAGUGACGGUACAUGAGGAAUAAGCCACGGCUAACUACGUGCCAGCAGCCGCGGUACUACGUAGGUGGCAAGCGUUAACCGGAUUUACUGGGUGUAAAGGGAGUGUAGGUGGGAAGGCAAGUCAGAUGUGAAAACCAUGGGCUCAACCUGUGGCCUGCAUUUGAAACUGUUUUACUUGAGUGCUGGAGAGGCAGACGGAAUUCCUAGUGUAGCGGUGAAAUGCGUAGAUAUUAGGAAGAACACCAGUGGCGAAGGCGGUUUGCUGGACCGCAACUGACGCUGAGGCGCGAAAGCGUGGGGAGCAAACAGGAUUAGAUACCCGUGUAGUC
rnacentral:rRNA from 1 species